rnacentral:lncRNA from 1 species
CAGCCACACCAUUUGCUGAUAAGCCCACAUGACUUCUCAGUGAUUUGCCACCAUCAUCUUAUUACCUAAGCUCAUAUGCCCCACUGGGACCUGUACAUGACUCAUUCAUUCCAAUGAAAGUAAGUUUACUUUCUUGUAAACUCGCCUUGUCCCUACAAACUUCAUAAGCUCUUACACCUUCAACAUUUUGCUCAAAACUCAUCUCCUCCAAGAAGCUCCCCUUCAGUGAUUCCCAGAGACUUGUUAAUACAUCAUAUUCUAAGCAUGCCUCACUGUUAGAUUAUAUGUGUUUUUAUCUUUGUAAACAAAUUUCAAAUUCUCGAAAGUCAUCUUUUUUUUUUUUUUAAUUUUCUUUCAUCACUUCCAAUUAAGACCAGAAAAAAGGUUUUCACACAGGGAAUACACAGCAAAUGUGCUCAAUGGACUGAAUCUUUCAGAAUUUCUGGUCAGUUUGCUUGUAAAUACAACCACCAAUAAAUGUUUUCCAAUGGGCUAAAAGUGCCUGCAUUUGGCUUCUGAUUUUUCUUCUCAGUUUUUAUUUGCUGUCCCUUUGUAUUAAUUAUUGUCAUGUCCAUGAUAAUCAGGAGUAAUGGUUCAAGUGAAUCUAUUUUUACUAUGCAUUAUGUAUAUGGUUUCAUGCACUGUUCAACUAAUAUUGUACAUAGACUCCACGUAUUUUAACUUUAUGUUGAGAGUAGCGAAUGGGUCUCAACUUCAGGAAAGUGGAUUAUAAUUUUGUCUAUGAAUUACCUUAAAGGAUACAUAACGAAUAGGCAAAAUUGAUAAAGAAGAAAAAUUACAAAGACCAUUACCAAUUUGAAGGGUGAAAGAACAUGGAAACCUAAAAUAUAUAGUCUGGGUAGAGUAUGAUUUGAGCUCAUGGACAAUAACAAAGACACAUUUGAAAAAACUUAAAAAAUGAGUGAGAUAACUCACAGCAUGUGUACUAAUACAAAAUUAAGACUAACUGAAACAAAUAAUAACAUGAGAAUCUAAGAAAUGUGUUAAAGUUACUAAAGUUACUAAUAGAAGGUUUACUCAAAAUCCUAAAGGAUUACAUUUAAAUUGGUGAACCAUAAGAAAUAAUCAUAGAUUAUUUUAUCUGCUCUUAGGAAACUGUCUGCUAAUUUAAAACCCUUUAGUUAUUCUAUUUUCUUAUAAUUAAAAUUUACACACAAAACCACUCUAUUUUUACUUGUUAAAACUCUUUCUAGGAGUUCCCAUCAUGGCUCAGUGGUUAACAGAUCCAACUAGGAACCAUGAGGUUGCGGGUUUGGUCCCUGGCCUUGCUNAUUGCUGUGGCUGUGGUGUAGGCCAGCAGCUACAGCUCCGAUUCGACCCCUAGCCUGAGAACCCCCAUAUGCCGCAGGAGCAGCCCUAGAAAUGGCAAAAAGACAAAAACAAACAAACAAACAAAAAAAACUCUUUCUAAAAUCCUAGUAGUAUUUACCAUCUUAGUAAAUACCGUUAACAAGGGUUAGUUUGUGGUUGACGAUUUACGAUCUUGAAGAUAGGCAGGACAUUAUUUUAUGUGGUAAGCAGCCAUCAGUUUUAAAAUUUGCUAUCAGGGCCUUCGCUGGUCCUUCCAAACUGAAUAUGGUAUGUGCUCCUAUGUUCCCAUGUAUAUUUAAUUUCUGUACUGAGCACCUUAUAUUCAUUCAUUUAAUUAUCCAAACAAUGAUUUACUGAGCGCCAUUCAUGGGCCUGGCAGUGUAUUGAGGUUACCACAAUGAGUAACUCAGCCUCCGUGAUUACUCCCAUGAAGCUUAGAGUCUAAAAUGAGAAAUAGAAAUUAAGUGACAAUGACAAAAAUAAUCAAUUGUAUUGCAGAUACUUGAUAGGAAUGGAAAACACAGGGAGUGAUGAGAAAAUAUAGCAACAGGUAGAAAUCUAAACUCAAAGGACAAAAAAGGCAUCCUUGGAGAAGCAAGAAGAUAAUGAGUGGGGACUAACCAGACCAAUGGAGAUGGAAGGACAUUCCUGGAAAGAGAAAGUGCAAACAAGGAAGUUCUGGGAUAAAAAGGAUCUUGGCAUGUGCAAGGCAUUGUUAGAACCAAGAGCAGCAUGGCUGGUGCGUCUGUUGAGGGGGAUGCCAAUGUGUCUAAAGAGAGGAGGAAAGGAUGUGGCUGGAAACUAGGGAGGAAGAAGGCUUGGGGUCUAAGAGUCCAGAUGAAGAAUUCAGGCUUUUACCCAGGAACAAUGGUAACCAUGAGUUAGCCAUGUAGAUGCCUGCUUCUAAGUAUUAGAAAUUGCAGGUCUUUGGUUCAUAAUCCCAGUUCCAACAUCUCAGGGAGCACCCGACACAGAGUGGGUGCUUAACACUUGUUGGAUGACUGACUGGAGAGAAUGCAUGAUCCCUUGUCUCCCCAGCCAAAGAAUAAAGAGGUUCUGAGUUACAGAGGACUCUGAUUUAAUGGGGAGAGGAGAGGGAAGAUUCCAGCCACUACUUUUUUACAACCUAUCCUUUUAAGGUGUCAUUUGAAAAUAUAAACAUUGCAAGUGAUAUCCACAGGAGCAGGUUGAGGGGCUCCCAGACAAAUGAAGUGCUCCAGAAUCAAAGCAACUAUCUGGCCAGAGCAAGAUUCCUACGAAAUCUCCCUGCAAAACUACCAAAUCACAAGCAAAUGUUCUGAGGUUAUAGAGUCAACCAACAGUCCUUCAGAAGAGUAUGAAACAGGGUGCCAGCUUAACAACACAAAAAAUAUUGAGAAGAAAAGGACAGUCUUCCAACAGUGCCCCAGGAGUGUAACAAAUGUGAUGAGGUUUAGGGCUUUGAUCAGGACCUGCUCACAGGGUGUUCUGAUCAGGGGGUGUUUUGCUUCUAUGCUUUAGUUGGCCCUUCGCUCUCUGUUGAAUUCAGGCGUGCAAAAGCCUUUUCUUUUCAAGCAUGAAAACAAAAAUCUCUUGCCAUUUCAAAGUGCCCUCUCCUUUGCAGCCUACUUGGUAGUUUGCCUUUCUUUCUUUACUUUUUGAAUACGAGCUUUGAUCAUCUCACCCCCCUGCUCCACCUUCAGUGGCUUACCACUGCCUGAUGAAUAAAAUAAAAACUUCUAAGCUUGCCACAUGAUGUCCCAAACCUCGCAAAUGCCCAACAUGUUUGCCUAACCUCUUCUGACUUCCUCUCCACAUAGUCACCGUCAUCAAGCCAUUGUUUUGCUUAUUCCAUGCAAAGACAAAGGCAACCAGUUUCAUCUGUUCCUUCUUCCUUCCUUCUGUUCUUCCUCUCCUUUUCUUUUGAAUCUUACCAUCGAUUACCUCCCCAAUUAAAAUCAAGAUACCUAAAGACACAGGAGUCCUAGGACUCAAAAAAAAAAAAAAAAUCUUCCAGGUCUCUCACUGAAAGCAUUACUUUUCUUGCAUAAAGUACAAUGGUUCAAAAAUGGAUGCACAACUGAAACCAGAGUCAUGGUACUCCAUGAAGAUAGUGAUUUAACUUUAUGCAAUUAAAGAUGUUCUGGGAGAACCAGUUUAAAAUGUAGAUAUCUGAUCUUGCUCCCAAAUGUUGUGAGAAACAGUCUGGCAAAGCCUAGGAAUUGCAUUGCAUAUUUAGCAUCAUAUCUAGGUCUCAUUUAAAUGGUCCAAAGAUGAUACUUUGAGAAACACUGGUCUGCAGUGUUGAGUAGACUUCCUGUGUUUCAAACAGACUGGUCUUCUAAUGAAUUCUGUUUCUCUAUGGACAUGCCGAAGGCAGAAUUCAGCUGCAUACGUGUCUCUAGUGACUGGAAAAUGUUUGAGGAAAUUAAGAAGUGACAAGAAUUUUAGAGUAUAGCUCUUCAGUAGUGUGCUUGCUUUUACACAGUCUGAGGAUGCUCAUGCUCAGUGUAAUGCUUCAAUAAGAAAUGGGCAUGGGGAGGUCACACUGACAUUGGAGCAGUGUUCUGAACAAUAGACCAUUGAUUAGUACAUCUUUCUUGUGCCAGUUUAUUCUCUAAGCAACAUGUCUGUUCAUAAGAAUCCAGGUUUACUCCACAAAAAUCUUUUAAGUGUCUGCCAAUAUCCAGGCAUGGAACUGGGUGGUAGGUUUAAAACCCCAACUUUGGGAGUUCCCAUUGUGGCACAGCGGGUUAGGUACCUGACUAGUAUCCAUGAGGAUACAGGUUUGAUCCCUGACCUAACUCAAUGGGUUAAGGAUCCUGCGUUGCCGCGAGCUGUGGUAUAGGUCGCAGAUGCGACUCAGAUCCUGUGUUGCUGUGGCUAUGAUGUGGGCCAGCAGCCGCAGCUCCAGUUUGACCGCUAAGCCAGGAACUUCCACAUGUCCUGGGUGCAGCCCUAUAAAAACAAAAAUAAAAUCCAAACGUUGUUUUGGCUUUGUGAAAUAGACAUCCUAUGUCAUACUUUUAAAUACGAAAAUUACAUCCAGCAUCACUUAAAUGGGAAACGGGAAAGAGCAUUUUUUGGAAAACAUAAUGAUGUUGGUAGUUUCUUGGGACCUGUAAUCUAGCAUUGAAUGGAGUUUAUCAAUAAAAGCAGACAUUAAAGGAAAAUUACUCACAAAAAACCUUCUGACCCAUAAAAUCACAAUUGAUAUAUUUAAGCCAAAUCUUUUUAUCUGCUCUUUACUACAAAUGUUUUCAGAUAUCUACUUUUUAUCUGGUUAAUAUUUCACCACAAAAUAUUUUUGAUGGAUUUUAUCAAUAUUUAGUUCUUCAUUUUAUCUUUAUUCAACUUAGAAAGGUUAAUUGUAACUGUAUUAAAGGCAACUAACAUAACUGAUACAAUAGCCAAAGAAAAAUGCCUGUGCUAUUAUGAAAUAAAUAAAAAUAAAAUGGCAUCUAUAACCCUUUAGGUAGCUCUAAAAAAUAGACCUGACAUUUGAGGAAGGGGGAAGAACAACAAUGAAAUAACAUAGACAACCAUCAAAAAGCAGAAUAUCUGCAAAGCUUUAGCUCUACUUUGAAAGAGCAAGACAAAAGCCCCAAUUAUCAAAAGAUGUGUAUUGGCUUCUGUACAGAAAUAAAGGAACACGAGGAAAGACCACAUGAUAAGGGAAAAAAAAAUGGUAAAAAGUAAGAGAAGCACAUGGUUUGGUUAGUUUACAGCAAUGACAUUAAAAUUUAUAAUGGCUCUUUUACUGAAGAUUGUACCAUCUUAAAUUGACAUCCCCAAUAGCUUUAGUGAAAUUAAAAACAUCAAAGCACAUGCAUUCUUUGUUAAUCACAUGUAAGGAAAGUAAUACCUGUGGAUAAGUAAUUGUUACAGCAAUAAAUAACCAACAUUUAAGCCAGUGUGAAAGAAAAAGAUGAGAAGAGAACAUUCCCAAUGAGAAAGGAGGUUCAUUUUGCUAUAGUCUUUCAUUUUACACAAGAGCCAACAGAGACCCAAAGACACCCAUUGACUUGCCAGGAUUGGACAUUCCAGAAAGUCUUCCCUCAGAUGACUAUGGCUGAGUGAUACCUUCAUUCAUAAAGUCUUCAGGAAUUAGAGAUAAUGCUUUCAUGAAGUAACCAUCAAUAUGUGCUGCCAUGUUUAUGCAUAUGUGAUGCUGAUUUAGGGCCCAAGAUGUUCAUUCCUUUCUUCAAUCUCUAGUUUAUUCUCCACAACAUGCUUAUCGCUCCUGAUGGAGUUGGGCUCUUUCCUCUACCCUCCUCCUCCCUUUAUUCUUGUCACUUUUUUUCCCACCUUGCCUUUAUUUAUCUGUCCCCUCUCACUCCAACUUCUUUCUUUUCCUUUCUCUGUCAAUCUAGAACUCCUGACACACGUUUAGGCAUUGGGAAGAUGAGAAAAUCAGCAAGUGUGUUCACUUACACCAAGAAUCAGUGAAAUUAACACUCUUGAUGAAAAAGAGUGGUGACAAACCUUCAAGUUUUGCCAGACAUUAAAGGAAAAUUACUCAGAGAAAACCUCUCUGCCCCAUAAAGUCACCUGAUUCAUGUUUUUAACCCAAAUCUUUUUAUCUAUUCUUUACUGCAAAUAUGUUCAGACAUCUACUUUUUAAUUAGGUUAAUAUUUUCUCACAAAACAUUUUUGAUGGAUUUUGAGGGAUAUCUCUAAACGGAUGAGCUUCUGUAUUAACCCAUGACCUUGAUGAUCUCUUGAUUCAUCUAAAAAUGUUUAAGUGCAUCACCAGGACAGGUUCUAUCCUUUCCCUGUUAAAAUGAAUAGUUUGCUACAAACUAAAUGAUUGUCUUCCCCUUCCCCGAGAUUUGGUAGAACUUAAUUCUCGAUGAGAUGGUAUUAGGAGGUGGGACUUUAUGGAGGUGAUGAGGCAGAUGAUGCGGACAGAGUCCUCAUGAGUGGAGAUUAGCACCCUAUAAGAGAGACCAGAGAGCAGCUUGUC